rnacentral:rRNA from 1 species
UACGUAGGUGACGAGCGUUAUCCGGAUUUACUGGGCGUAAAGCGCUUGUAGGUGGUCUUGUAAGUUGGGCGUGAAAACACCGGGCUUAACUCGGUGACGCCGUCCAAUACUGCGAGACUGGAGGAUGUCAGAGGAAGGUGGAAGUCCUGGUGUAGUGGUGAAAUGCGUAGAUAUCAGGAGGAACACCCGUGGCGAAGGCGGCCUUCUGGUGCAUUCCUGACACUGAGAAGCGAAAGCUAGGGGAGCAAACAGG